rnacentral:rRNA from 1 species
GACGAACGCUGGCGGCGUGCUUAACACAUGCAAGUCGAGCGGUAAGGCCCUUUCGGGGGUACACGAGCGGCGAACGGGUGAGUAACACGUGGGUGACCUGCCCUCAGCUCUGGGAUAAGCCUGGGAAACUGGGUCUAAUACUGGAUAUGACUCCACGGUGCAUGUCGUGGGGUGGAAAGCCUUGUGCGGCUGAGGAUGGGCCCGCGGCCUAUCAGCUUGUUGGUGGGGUGANCGGCCUACCAAGGCGACGACGGGUAGCCGGCCUGAGAGGCGACCGGCCACACUGGGACUGAGACACGGCCCAGACUCCUACGGGAGGCAGCAGUGGGGAAUCUUGCGCAAGUGGGUCGAAAGCCUGACGCAGCGACGCCGCGUGA